UCAACAGCCUUUUUAAAGGCUACACAAAUUUCAAGAAAAAGAGUUU
rnacentral:ncRNA from 1 species